CGCGACUCUCAGGAAGUGGUUCUCGGAGGCAGUUUGCACCCCAGGCCAUCCGAGGACUGAGAAAUCAGAGACAUGUAUAUCCUGCUACGUUUUCCAGUUGAAAACCAUGAGACACAAAAUUACUAAACGUAAACUUCCAGCACUUGUACAGAGCCAUUUAUGUGACAUCAAAAUUAACUUGUCAUAAGUAAAGGCUGGAAGAAAAUACACCCUAAUGUUUCCAGGCAGCAAGGAGAACGUCCCCCAGAGCCUCAGACCCGACAGCCUCUUCGUGGCUUUUUCCGGUUGGUGGAUUGGAACUUGUGUGCUCAGUUGGCGAGAAGGACAGCACACUAAAAGGUCUGGAAUGAGGUUCCAGAGUGAUACCAGUUCGAGCCCCUGCCUCAAGCAACGCUGGCCAGCCACAGAUCAAAGAUGGCUCAGACAAGGCCAUCAACAAAUGCUGUCGGCUCGAACUCGGGGACCAUCCGAAGCCAUUCGCUUUCCUCCAUUCCCACUGCUGCCUCCCGUGCAAGCCACUAUGGGCCCUUGGAUAGAGUGGAGUCCUCACUUCCACCCUGGCAGUCAGCACCUCGGCACCUAGCGUGGCCUUUCACGAAUGCCGAUCAGAUGACGCCCCUCUGCUCAGCCUGCUCUGCGCCUCCUGCCUCACCUAAGACAAAAUCCACACUUCCUGCCCCGGCUCACGAGGUUCACUACCGCUGCUUUGUCUCUGCUCCAGCCACGCUGGCCUUCUGCAAACCGUCAAGGUCGUCUCGUCUCGGGGUCCCUCAGCUCCUCCUUCCUCCAGGCAUCCUCCUUUCCUGGGGUGGGCUCCACAAUCCGCAGACGAUCCCUCCCACUGCCCUGGUCUGAUCACCCCUCAUUACUCUGGGAUGUUUUUAAACCCAUGGGUAUGACCUAUUUCUAAGCUCUAGGAGAGUCUGUUUCAUUUCAUUCCCUUCUCCGCUCCCAGUGCCCAGAGAGGUGCCUGGCAUAGAACAGGCUCUUGAUAAAUGUUGAGUUAACUAGUGAAUGGGUGGAAAGAUGCUACUCAUGCACUGCUUUUGGAUGCCAGGCCUUUGUUUGUAGGGUUCCGGCAGGCUGCAAUCCGUUAAUCUGUUCAGUCUGUUUUUUAGAGACGAUUUCGAAACUUCUGUCCUUCAUGGCCGACGCAGAAGGCCUUUCUCCGCCUGAUGUGAUGUCCCCCUUCUUUGAGCCCCGUAGCGCCUCGUGCUUCUUGGAGACACCUAGUCCUUGCUGAGUAUGUCCUGGGCCUUUAAGUCUCUAAUUAAGUCCAACAGAAUUUCAGGGUCUUGACGACGUGUUUCCCCACCUGUUUCUUCCACAGCAGCCAGUAUGGCGUCACACACAGGCUGGGGGCUCUACGAGCAUUUGCUCGAUUGAAACCGUUCUUGCUAUCAUUGCCUUACGUAGCAUGUUGGGGCUGGUAAAAAUAUUUCAUGAAACAUGCUCUGAUCGGGUUCCUGUUUUCAAGAAAAACAUCCCAACCUUGCCAUCAGUUAGAACCUUACAGAUUCUGAACUGGAGUGAGGUGGGACGUGGGGAGGGAGGGGGUCAGGAAUACGCCAGGGGUUUGACCUGAGCACGUUGGGAGCGUGGGGAGCGAUUCUGUAUAAAUCGGGGCUACUCUUUCUUCCCAACUCAAAAACUCAUUAGAAUAUCUAUGGAGACAGUCCUCCAGCCUCUGUUUUUCUUAAUUUGACAAACCCACGUUGGCCCUGUUUAUCUCUCGAUGUAUCUCCAAAGACUGUCGUA